GACUAGUUAAAUUUAUUCUCGUGCUCAAACACGUCUAAUAAUUCUAUACAAAUAUUUCUCGUGUUACAGAAAAUAAUGAGAAAUCAAAUUAUGUCCACUUCUCUUAUUGUUUUAUUUGUUGUUCUCUUCCUUGCUUAUGGUAUGUACUACUAAGUAGCAUUGCUGAUCAUCUAUCCAUUCAUGAUUCAUCCUUGUCAUGUGUUGUAGAAAUUUUUUUUUGAUAACAAAUAAUCCUGUUUUAUUGUUGCAGAUGGUGGGUUAGUAGAGGCACAACGUCUAACUAAAUGUCAAGCGAAAGAACCUAUUGAUGUAUGCACUAUUCCGCAUUGUUCUUCAAUAUGUGAUCAAAAGUAUUCAAGUAACUUGGGGGUUGCAAGUGGCCAGUGCUUAAGUAGUACAGUCUGCAAUUGUAUUUACAGCAGCGUCAACCCAGAUUGCCAUGCCAAAGAUCAUUUGAUUUGAUACAAUCAUUAUUAUGCCUUCUUCAGCUCCUUAUGUAUUAUAAUAAAAAAUCCAUAGCUCUCUACGCCACAGUUUUGUAUUAUUAGAAGGAUUUAAUAAAAGAGCACAUGCA
rnacentral:lncRNA from 1 species